rnacentral:hammerhead_ribozyme from 1 species
AUCCAGCCGAUGAGUCCCAACUAGGACGAAACGCGUGUCGUGGAU